CGAACUCUGAACAGUCACAACGCUGAAUAGAAACAGAGAAAAGAAGAAGAUCUUCCGCGGGGGUUUUCCUUCCACCACGGUGUUAGAAAAACGACCCGUAGCCAAAAUUGAGACACGCCCGCAGGUCGACGAUUAAGCGCGGGAAAAGAACCCAACAGGGAUUGCCCCAGUAACGGAGAGUGAAGCGGCAACAGCUCAAAUUUGAAAUCUGGCUUCGGCCCGAGUUGUAAUUUGCAGAGGAAGCUUUAGGCGCGGCACCAUCUGAGUCCCCUGGAACGGGGCGCCAAAGAGGGUGAGAGCCCCGUAUAGAUGGACGCCUAGCCUGUGUAAAGCUCCUUCGACGAGUCGAGUAGUUUGGGAAUGCUGCUCAAAAUGGGAGGUAAAUUUCUUCUAAAGCUAAAUAUUGGCCAGAGACCGAUAGCGCACAAGUAGAGUGAUCGAAAGAUGAAAAGCACUUUGAAAAGAGGGUAAAAUAGCACGUGAAAUUGUUGAAAGGGAAGCGCUUGUGACCAGACUUGCGCCGGGCGGAUCAUCCGGUGUUCUCACCGGUGCACUCCGCCCGGCUCAGGCCAGCAUCGGUUCUCGUGGGGGGAUAAAGGCACCGGGAACGUAGCUCCUCCGGGAGUGUUAUAGCCCGGGGCGUAAUGCCCUCGCGGGGACCGAGGACCGCGCUUCUGCAAGGAUGCUGGCGUAAUGGUCAUCAGCGACCCGUCUUGAAACACGGACCAAGGAGUCAAGGUUUUGCGCGAGUGUUUGGGUGUAAAACCCGCACGCGUAAUGAAAGUGAACGUAGGUGAGAGCUUCGGCGCAUCAUCGACCGAUCCUGAUGUUCUCGGAUGGAUUUGA
rnacentral:rRNA from 1 species